AUGAAGGCAGACAUGGGAGAGAGGUGGGCACAGGGAGGAAGGUGGGCCCAAGGUGGGCAUGGGGGAAGGUGGACACAAGUCGGAGGUGAGCACAAAGGGAAGGUGGGUACAGAAAUGUGGGCACAAGGGGAAUGUGGGUGCAAAGUGGGUAUGGGAGAAGGUGGGCAAAAGCCGGGAGGUGGGCACAAGGGGCAGGUGGGCACAAGGUGGGUAUGGGAGAAGGUGGGCACAAGUCGGGAGGUGGGCACAAAGGGCAGAUCGGCACAAAGGGGGAAGGUGGGCACAGGGAGGAAGGUGAACACAAAAUGGGGAUUGUUGUAUGUCUUUCGGGCUGACGUUUUGCCCAGAGAAUACUUCUGGAACAUGGCCACACAGCCCGAAAGACAUAUAACAACCUGUGAUCCCAGCCAUGAAAGCCUUCGACAACACAGCACAACCACUCCAGGAUGAGUCUUGGCCACUUGCCUCCAGCCACCAUCGCUAUCCCACAUUCUAAUAUGGGGCCCAAAGGCUCCUGAUCCCACCGCGUGGCCUGGACCUAGACCCGUGUGAAGGGUUGCAUGGGCUGAGGCUGGCCAGACGCCCGGCACGAUGCCCUCCUCCUCUGCCUCUGCACGGCUGUCCCGGCCCCUGAGCCACCCUGGCCCUCAUUGUGAAGACCUUGUGUCGGAUUGGGGGGCAGGAAGGUGAACGGAAAGCAAAACACACCUUCUGGCAAAACCCAGAGCACCACUUAUACAACAUCUUUACCCAUUGCAUUAUUUAUAGCAAGGCUGAAAGAUUUAUUUCCCCGCCUCCCUGCUGAGACAGAGCGGGCCCCACAAGGACCGGCGGAAGCCCUGGGCAAGGGGGAUGAAGGACCAGGAAGCCCCAAAAGCAAUGGGAAGGCAGGGGGUCCCAGGGCGCCCCCCCACCAGCCAGCCCAGCAGCAGUUGCCUCUCUUCCUUUUGAAGGCAGCAAGGCUGGGUCUCCCGGAGAACCCCCAGCUCUCUUCCUUUUAUCCUGCUCCUGCAGUUUCAUUUCAACCAGUCCCUUUGGGCAACCUGCACACUCCUUCCCUCCCUCGAUACCCAAUCGGAGAACAGCAGGGUGAAUCUGGGGUGCCAACCCAGAGAAGCAGAAGGUGAAAAGGGACCCCCAC
rnacentral:lncRNA from 1 species